CUCCUGACUGACCGAUAGUGAACCAGUACCGUGAGGGAAAGGCGAAAAGAACCCCGGCGAGGGGAGUGAAAAAGAACCUGAAACCGUGUACGUACAAGCAGUGGGAGCCUCUUUUAUGGGGUGACUGCGUACCUUUUGUAUAAUGGGUCAGCGACUUAUAUUCUGUAGCAAGGUUAACCGAAUAGGGGAGCCGAAGGGAAACCGAGUCUUAACUGGGCGUUAAGUUGCAGGGUAUAGACCCGAAACCCGGUGAUCUAGCCAUGGGCAGGUUGAAGGUUGGGUAACACUAACUGGAGGACCGAACCGACUAAUGUUGAAAAAUUAGCGGAUGACUUGUGGCUGGGGGUGAAAGGCCAAUCAAACCGGGAGAUAGCUGGUUCUCCCCGAAAGCUAUUUAGGUAGCGCCUCGUGAAUUCAUCUCCGGGGGUAGAGCACUGUUUCGGCAAGGGGGUCAUCCCGACUUACCAACCCGAUGCAAACUGCGAAUACCGGAGAAUGUUAUCACGGGAGACACACGGCGGGUGCUAACGUCCGUCGUGAAGAGGGAAACAACCCAGACCGCCAGCUAAGGUCCCAAAGUCAUGGUUAAGUGGGAAACGAUGUGGGAAGGCCCAGACAGCCAGGAUGUUGGCUUAGAAGCAGCCAUCAUUUAAAGAAAGCGUAAUAGCUCACUGGUCGAGUCGGCCUGCGCGGAAGAUGUAACGGGGCUAAACCAUGCAC
rnacentral:rRNA from 1 species